ACUUCCAGAAAGAAAUAAAAAGUAAUUUAUAACUAAGACAGUAAAAUGUAAGUUCCCUAAAUUUACCUUUGGCUAGGAUACUGAAAUUAACACCCCCAAUUCUUCUGAAAAGUGUUGCAUUGAUCAAAGGACCAAACAUCAAUCCUCCUGGUCAUAUUCAUCGUCUUCUUCAUGUUGAGUUUGCAGAGCUCCACUGUCAAAGUCAAGUGACAUUGUUUUCUAAUAAGAUUCCAAGCUGAUCCAUCAAGAUUCAUCACUUCACUGAAAAAUGAACCAGCACAUGAAAUGAACCAUGUAAUCAAAUGAUUCUCAGGGUAAACACGUUCCAUGAGUCUGUCCACAACAAAACUAGCCAUACAAAUGCCAU